rnacentral:rRNA from 1 species
GACGAACGCUGGCGGCGUGCUUAACACAUGCAAGUCGAACGGAAAGGCCUUUUCGGAGGUACUCGAGUGGCGAACGGGUGAGUAACACGUGGGUGAUCUGCCCUGCACUCUGGGAUAAGCCUGGGAAACUGGGUCUAAUACCGGAUAGGACCGCACUUUAGUGUGUGUGGUGGAAAGUUUUUUCGGUGUAGGAUGAGCCCGCGGCCUAUCAGCUUGUUGGUGGGGUAAUGGCCUACCAAGGCGGCGACGGGUAGCCGGACUGAGAGGUUGGUCGGCCACAUUGGGACUGGGAUACGGCCCAGACUCCUACGGGAGGCAGCAGUGGGGAAUAUUGCACAAUGGGCGCAAGCCUGAUGCAGCGACGCCGCGUGGGGGAUGACGGCCUUAGGGUUGUAAACUCCUUUCGCCAGGGACGAAGCGUUUUGUGACGGUACCUGGAGAAGAAGCACCGGCUAACUACGUG